rnacentral:lncRNA from 1 species
GCCUCUCAAUUAACUCAUUUAUUGGGCACAUAACCAAAAGAACUGAAAGUAGGGUCUUAAGCAGAUAUUUGUAUACCCACUUUCAUAGCAGCAUUGUUCACAAUAGCCAAAAGGUGGAUGCUACCCAAGGACUAUGGACAGAUGAAUAAACAAAAUGUGGUAUAUACAUAGAGCGGAAUAUUAUUCAGUCUUAAAAAGAAAUGAAUUGUCACAUGCUACAAAAUGCAUGAACCUUAAAGACAUUAUGCUAAGUGAAUUAAGCCAGUCAAAAAAGGACAAAUACUGUAUGAUUCCACUUCUAUGAGAUAGCUAGAGUAUUCAACUUCGUAGAGAAGAACAGUAGUUACCAGGGACUAGGGGCAAGGAUAAAUGGAGAAUUAUUAUUUAAUGGGUACAGAAUUUUAGUUUUGCAAGAUGAAAAC